rnacentral:rRNA from 1 species
AUUGAACGCUGGCGGCAUGCCUUACACAUGCAAGUCGAACGGCAGCACGGGUGCUUGCACCUGGUGGCGAGUGGCGAACGGGUGAGUAAUACAUCGGAACGUACCUUAUCGUGGGGGAUAACGCAGCGAAAGCUGUGCUAAUACCGCAUACGCUCUGAGGGGGAACGCGGGGGAUCGCAAGACCUCCCGCGAUGAGAGCGGCCGAUGCCUGAUUAGCUAGUUGGUGGGGUAAAAGCCCACCAAGGCGACGAUCAGUAGCUGGUCUGAGAGGACGAUCAGCCACACUGGGACUGAGACACGGCCCAGACUCCUACGGGAGGCAGCAGUGGGGAAUUUUGGACAAUGGGGGCAACCCUGAUCCAGCAAUGCCGCGUGAGUGAAGAAGGCCUUCGGGUUGUAAAGCUCUUUUGUCAGGGAAGAAACACCGGCUCUAACACAGUCCGGGAAUGACGGUACCUGAAGAAUAAGCACCGGCUAACUACGUGCCAGCCGCCGCCGUAA